rnacentral:rRNA from 1 species
GAUGGGAAACGGGUUAAUAUUCCCGUACUUGGUGUUACUGCGAAGGGGGGACGGAGAAGGCUAUGUUGGCCGGGCGACGGUUGUCCCGGUUUAAGCGUGUAGGUGUGUGUUCCAGGUAAAUCCGGUUCACUUUAACACUGAGGCGUGAUGACGAGGCACUACGGUGCUGAAGCAACAAAUGCCCUGCUUCCAGGAAAAGCCUCUAAGCAUCAGGUAACAUCAAAUCGUACCCCAAACCGACACAGGUGGUCAGGUAGAGAAUACCAAGGCGCUUGAGAGAACUCGGGUGAAGGAACUAGGCAAAAUGGUGCCGUAACUUCGGGAGAAGGCACGCUGACACGUAGGUGAAGUGAUUUACUCAUGGAGCUGAAGUCAGUCGAAGAUACCAGCUGGCUGCAACUGUUUAUUAAAAACACAGCACUGUGCAAACACGAAAGUGGACGUAUACGGUGUGACGCCUGCCCGGUGCCGGAAGGUUAAUUGAUGGGGUCAGCGCAAGCGAAGCUCCUGAUCGAAGCCCCGGUAAACGGCGGCCGUAACUAUAACGGUCCUAAGGUAGCGAAAUUCCUUGUCGGGUAAGUUCCGACCUGCACGAAUGGCGUAAUGAUGGCCAGGCUGUCUCCACCCGAGACUCAGUGAAAUUGAACUCGCUGUGAAGAUGCAGUGUACCCGCGGCAAGACGGAAAGACCCCGUGAACCUUUACUAUAGCUUGACACUGAACAUUGAGCCUUGAUGUGUAGGAUAGGUGGGAGGCUUUGAAGUGUGGACGCCAGUCUGCAUGGAGCCGACCUUGAAAUACCACCCUUUAAUGUUUGAUGUUCUAACGUGGACCCGUAAUCCGGGUUGCGGACAGUGUCUGGUGGGUAGUUUGACUGGGGCGGUCUCCUCCUAAAGAGUAACGGAGGAGCACGAAGGUUGGCUAAUCCUGGUCGGACAUCAGGAGGUUAGUGCAAUGGCAUAAGCCAGCUUGACUGCGAGCGUGACGGCGCGAGCAGGUGCGAAAGCAGGUCAUAGUGAUCCGGUGGUUCUGAAUGGAAGGGCCAUCGCUCAACGGAUAAAAGGUACUCCGGGGAUAACAGGCUGAUACCGCCCAAGAGUUCAUAUCGACGGCGGUGUUUGGCACCUCGAUGUCGGCUCAUCACAUCCUGGGGCUGAAGUAGGUCCCAAGGGUAUGGCUGUUCGCCAUUUAAAGUGGUACGCGAGCUGGGUUUAGAACGUCGUGAGACAGUUCGGUCCCUAUCUGCCGUGGGCGCUGGAGAACUGAGGGGGGCUGCUCCUAGUACGAGAGGACCGGAGUGGACGCAUCACUGGUGUUCGGGUUGUCAUGCCAAUGGCACUGCCCGGUAGCUAAAUGCGGAAGAGAUAAGUGCUGAAAGCAUCUAAGCACGAAACUUGCCCCGA